rnacentral:rRNA from 1 species
AUGGUUGUCGUCAGCUCGUGUCGUGAGAUGUUGGGUUAAGUCCCGCAACGAGCGCAACCCUUAUUGCUAGUUACCAUCAUUGAGUUGGGGACUCUAGCGAGACUGCCAGUGAUAAACUGGAGGAAGGUGGGGGAUGACGUCAAAUCAUCAUGCCCCUUAUGACCUGGGCUACAAACGUGAUACAAUGGCUGAAACAGAGGGAGGCGAAGGGGUGACCUGGAGCGAAACCCAGAAAAACAGUCUCAGUUCGGAUUGAAGUCUGCAACUCGACUUCAUGAAGUCGGAAUCGCUAGUAAUCGCGGAUCAGAACGCCGCGGUGAAUACGUUCUCGGGGUUU